GAAUCUCGAAAUUGCUUUGACGUUCUUUUGUCAUGAGGUCUGAAUUCAUCUGCUCUAGCUGUUCUAAGUCAGACUUCCUGUCCUCCAGUUUAUCAUUCAUCUCCUUCAUUGUCUGCUUGACCGCCUCAUCAUCAGCAUCCCCCAAAUGCUUCAUCACUUGUAAUUUGCCUUUCAGCUCCUGAAUCUCCAUUUCCAGUGUCUGUUUGGUGUCUAGCUGUGUCUUAAGCUCAAGGAUCUUGCUCAUUGCCUCAUCUUUUUGCCUCUGGAUUUUAAUAAAAGGAGAGAAUUUCAAAAUCAAGACACAAAUGAGGGAAGUUUUUUCUCCCCUUUGUUAUACAGUUUGAGUUGUGUACCUUAUGCUCUUCCACAAGCCUCAAAACGUUCUGGUCAGCCUUCUCCUGCUCAUGAGAGGCUAACUUGAGGGAAAUGUUCAUAGCAUCAUUCUGCCAAACCAAUAAAAUAGAAAUCAUUAUUAGUAGCUCGGAAAACAUUGAUCUAUACAUAUGCACAGACGAAUUGUUUCCUGAAUAUGACAGUGACUAUGGACUGAUUAUUACCUUUUUCUUCUCUUCAUCCAACUUUUGUCUCUCCAGUUCAGUAAGUGCUUCCUUUUUCUCCAACUCUUUGGACCAGUUCUUUAGUCUCAGCAUCUUUGCUUCCAGUUCAUUGCUUAGCCUCUCUUUAUCUUCUAGGAUCUUCUGGAUACUGCGCAUCGACAUCUGAUGCAUCUUCUUUGUUUCUGAGGAGAUAAAUUAGAGACAAUAAUCAGACACCCUAAAACAUGCUAAGAUGAAUGAUAAACAUAUUAGUUUUUUUCAGUUAAAAACCUUCUGCAUAAGCUUCCUCCAAGUUUUUCUUCUGGUCCUUGAGCCUCUUCAGUAACAUAGCCGUCUCGUUGUAACUGUACUGAACCUUGUUCAGAUCCUCAUUAGUCAUAUCAAUCAUACUCGAAAGUUCUUCAAGAACACUGUUUCUAUCCUCCGCUUUUUCUUGAGAAAUAUCUGAAACGGUUCUUAGCUUCCCCUCCUUGGAGAGGUACUCACCUAUUACCCCUUCAGAGUUAUAGUCUUCCGCACGUGCGCACCAUCCAUAAGCCUUGGACUCUGACUCUCCCCUCUUCUCUACCCACUCCUUUUUGCUGCAGCCUUCCCUCUCAAACUCCUUCUCAAGCUCCGUCGCACUCGCAAACCCACUCCAGUCGCUGUUAAACUCAGCAACAACCGCAAUAACACAAUCUUGUUCGAUCCAAAACACGUUCACAUCAACAGGCUUGAACCUAGAGAGACGCUUCAACCAAUACCACGAAUCGAGUAGAACCUCCUUGUCAUCAUCAGUUUCUUUCAAAGGAUUCAUCACAAUCCCCAUCCAAGGCCAGACGUAAACAUCACCAGGCUUUGGUUCUGACUCGUUUGACAGAGGGAGAUAAGGACGUGGAAGACCUUCUGCAUGAUCACCAGCAAGUUCAGUCUCUAAGUACUUAGCUAAGGCGAGAUGAUUAGCCUUCUGUUUAGCACUUCUGCUUACGGAUCCUUUGGAGACACCAGAGGCGUGUGCAAUGAGCUCCUUGUAUUUGUAGUCUUGCUUCUUCUUGCCUGAACAAAAGGGGCAUCUCAGCGUUCCGUUCACCUUAACCUUGUACUGCCCGGUUUGGAGUUUCAGGUAGGGUUUUUGGGAGUAGUCAUCGAUCUCUGACUCGCUGAUCUCGGACUCUUCAUCAGGUGGAGGUUGAACAUCCAUCUUACCUGCUUUUGAGAUAAGAAGCAAUCAAGAGGAUGGAUGACUUAUUCACCCAAAAAAAAGAUUAAAAAAUUCUAAAAAAGCGAAUCACUUUUAUAAGAAAGCAAAACUUCACAGGAUAGGUCAUGCAGCAAAGGUUUGCUCAGAUCAUUCUGAAGAUUGAAGCUAACGGAAAAGCCCCAAAUAGACUCAAUUUCCUAGAAAAAUUGAGUUCGCUAAUAUCGAAAUCACAGGAGCAAGCAUCAUUAUACAGAGUCUGCUACGGGAUCCGCACGUGCACGAUAAGUAACCUAACGAAAAAUGCGAAGGAUCUACAGAGUUAAAGCGUUAAAAGCACGAAAGUUCAUUAGGAGAUUUCGCUAUGAAGACAGUGCGUAGAGAAAACUGGAGCUUACUUGAGCCGAGAACGAGAUGAAAACACGGCGAUGGGUGAGGAGAAGAGAAGAGUGGAGAGUGAGGACUGAGGAAUACGAAAAGUUAGGGCUCAAAAGUGAAGGGAGAGGGAUUUAUAACGAUGAAAAAAGAUAAAACUAAUGUCAAGAGUGGGGUUCGAACCCACGCCCUUUCGGACCAGUACCUGAAACUGGCGCCUUAGACCACUCGGCCAUCUUGACUCUUGUUUACAUGUUAAUAAUCCAGUUUAUAGAUCUAAACUUAGUGUAGGGUGAAAAGCACUGGAUCAUAGCCCCCUAAUCAUCGCCAUUCUCGAAUUAAAUUACUGAUUACGCAAAACGGAGCCUGUUUGCCUCCGAACCAACUCUCUUCUUCUUCUUCUUCCUUCUCUCCAUCAGAUCCGUUCUUCCUUCCCUCGUUAUCGAACCAAUUGGAUCGCGAGUUGAAGGUUCGGUUACGAGGAGGAAGAAAGGUUAUUCUUUGAUCUGAUUUUACAAAGGAGAGUUUUUGACUAAUUGAUACCAUGGACGUUCCUAGCUCUUGGGAUGCUUUACGUAAACAGGUCAUUUUCUCGCGUGUCUAUGAUUCGUAGCUUCUGGGUAGCGAACACGGCGAUGGGUGAGGAGAGGAGAAGAGUAGAGAGUGUGAGGACUGAGGGAUACGAAAAGUUAGGGCUCAAAAGUGAAGGGAGAGGGAUUUAUAACGAUGAAAAUAGAUAAAACUAAUGUCAAGAGUGGGGUUCGAACCCACGCCCUUUCGGACCAGUACCUGAAACUGGCGCCUUAGACCACUCGGCCAUCUUGACUCUUGUUUACAUGUUAAUAAUCCAGUUUAUAGAUCUAAACUUAGUGUAGGGUGAAAAGCACUGGAUCAUAGCCCCCUAAUCAUCGCCAUUCUCGAAUUAAAUUACUGAUUACGCAAAACGGAGCCUGUUUGCCUCCGAACCAACUCUCUUCUUCUUCUUCCUUCUCUCCAUCAGAUCCGUUCUUCCUUCCCUCGUUAUCGAACCAAUUGGAUCGCGAGUUGAAGGUUCGGUUACGAGGAGGAAGAAAGGUUAUUCUUUGAUCUGAUUUUACAAAGGAGAGUUUUUGACUAAUUGAUACCAUGGACGUUCCUAGCUCUUGGGAUGCUUUACGUAAACAGGUCAUUUUCUCGCGUGUCUAUGAUUCGUAGCUUCUGGGUAGCGAGUGAAUCGAUAUUCUUCUUCUGGGUUUUAAUCAAUUUGGGGAAUUGCUAGCCAUAACUUGUGGGCUCAAUCUUAAAGAUGAGAUUUUUAUUCUAUUGGAUCUAGCUGUGACGUUAAUGAUAAACUUUAAAGGAAGAUGCUUUGUGUUUUCUGCGUUUUGAUUUUGGACAGGCUAGAAAGAUUGAAGCUCAGCUUGACGAGCAGAUGCAUUCAUAUCGCAGACUUGUUUCGACCAAGGCGCUGAUAAAGUCAGAUGGUGCAGAGAGUGACCUCGAAGCUGGGAUUGACUUACUGCUAAGGCAACUGCAGCAAGUUAAUGCGCAGAUGCAAGCUUGGGUUUCUUCAGGUGGGUCAGAGAUGGUCUCACAUACUUUAACUCGUCAUCAGGAGAUCCUUCAGGAUCUGACACAGGUAUGAUCCUUAGAUAAUUAUUUAAUCUCUUAAGCUUGGGUUGAUGAGGUUCUGAUUACAAUGCAAUGAAUGUUGGACUAGUUUAGGACUUAGCCUUUGUUGUGGAAUGAGCCUUGUUCAUGUAUGUAUGACUUAUUCAAAAUGCAGGAGUUUUACCGACACCGAUCAAGUCUUAGAGCUAAACAAGAACAUGCUUCACUUCUUGAGGACUUUAGAGAAUUUGAUCGGACUAGGUUAGACUUAGAAGAUGGGGAUGGCUCUACGCAACAAGCUCUUCUCAAAGAAAACGUGGGAAUCAACCGCAAUGCAGCUCAGGUAAAUAAAAUCCUUGUUAGACUAUGCAGAUGUAUCAUACAUUAAGAUGUGCAUUAUCAGUUUAGUUGAAGACCACCAUAGCUUAUUGUAUAUCAACGGUGCAGAUGGAUGGUGUCAUUUCACAAGCUCAGGCAACACUUGGUACACUCGUGUUUCAGCGUUCAACUUUUGGAGGCAUCAACUCUAAGCUUAGCAAUGUCACCAGCCGUCUACCCACGGUACAAAGAGCUUUCCUUUCUCUUAUUUGCAAACUCUCUUUGCUCUUUACUUUCUUUUUGUGUGGAUAUCAUAUGUAUACCUCACUCUGCAAUGCCAUGGUUAAACCCACUCUGCAGGUGAACACUAUUCUGUCAGCGAUAAAGAGGAAAAAGUCAAUGGAUACAAUCAUUCUUUCACUAGUUGCGGCUGUAUGCACAUUUCUCAUAUUCAUCUACUGGUUAACCAAGUAAAAAAUUUCAAUUCAUCUCUCUGUUGGGCCACGUCUGGUUUUCCCAUGAUGUUAAUUUGUUAUGUGAUCAUCCAUCGGUGUUCUAGUAAAGAAUCUAAAGAUAAAAAAAACAUAAAUAUUUUGUGUACAGCAAAACUUCAUUCCUAUGUUUUGCAGUUUUGACGAGCUUAUUAUACAACCAUCUGUUUCUUUCAUCUGAUACUGGAUUUUUGGCUCUGUAGCAGUGUUGUGGCUUUGAGAAUGAUACAAAUAUUUGAAAUCAAUCUGGCUUCAAUAAAACUCUAAUCAUAAAUGAUUCAUACUGUCACACCAAUCUAACCUAAUACUCGCAUUCAUCUUAUUGCUUAAGAAUGUGACAAGGAGAAGACAUGAUCUCUAAAGUCUCACUAUCACCGUCCUUUGAGAUGUUGACAAUGAAGUCAAUGACAAGCUUAACAUUAAACAUGGUUGCUUCUUCCUUCUCAAGCUAAUCCACUGUCCCCCUGUGCAAAUGGACCGAACCUGCCAUCAGGCUGCUAUUUCGUAUGAAAACAAGUAGACAGAUCAUCAUCAGACAGUGUCUGAUGGUUAUAAAUGGUCUGAAUGCGUGUAGAAGAGAGAGACAUCUGAUUUCAUUCAUUAUACAGAAGUAUUCAAGCACUUUCAUUGGUUGCUAAUAGAACUGGAUAUAAUAUUUCAAACAUAAUGUAUUUCCCUCUAUUGAAGUUAAUCACAUGUAACAAAAAUCAUAUAAUGUGUCUUUUUGAAGUUUGAAGGAUGAAAACUCAAAUAAAACUGUGCUGAAUCAGUUUGUUGGCCCAACGAUCCUGCAAUCCAAACACACACACAGAGAUUAGUCAGUCAAUACCGAACUCAAACACAGACCUAAAGAGAGUUCGAGCUUAAACUGUGUGUUUGAAAAGAUUACUUACUCAAGUGAAUGAUUUUCAGCUUUCAGGCUUGCUUUUCGCUAAUCCACUCAACAAAACUGUCGAGAACCAAUGGCCAUGCAAGCUCUGGAUUGUAUUCUGUCAUCUCCGGGAAACUUAUCUGUAUAAACACGUCUACUUAGUUGAUGAAACUGCCAAGCAGGGAAAUAGAAAGAGUUAGGAAACAUACCUCAUUGCAGAACCUGUAAAAGCCCAUCCACUGAUCCAUGUUUAUGACUUUGUAGUCGUUUUGGAUCUAUGAAACAAAAACCAUAUGAUGCUAAGAUUGCAAAUAAAAACAUUCUGGACAUGAAAAAAAAAGAUGUUAUUUUAAAGUGAUGAAGACCUUUAAAUACUCGACAAAGUAGUCAACUUGGGCUCGGAAAGUAGAUCCCAUGACGAUAUCUAGGAGUUGACAUAUAGUCUCUAUGUCUAUGCUCUUCUGUUUUUCCUCUGCAUUCAACAAUAAACAAAGAUCAUACAAUGAUACAAAAGCCGUGAAUUACAAAUAUCUCAUGGAAAAGCUGAAGUUAAUCUUACCUGUUAAGCGAAAUUCCAAAGUUCUGGGGUGCUGUAUCGACCACUUGGAUUAUACUCAUCCAUUUCCUCCAGAGCUGUUUUAACAGCGUCGUGCACCUCUUCUCCCCACUCGCCUUUAAGCUUCUUCAGCUUCUCAUCCUCUUCGUCGACCACUUCCUGUUACCGUGAAAACAUCCAACACCAUUACUUGCUGCUGACUUAACAAACAUAUGGAUAAAAGUACCAACAUUGACAGAAACACUGACAGUACCAACAUCCCCCAAAUGCUUCAUCACUUGUAAUUUGCCUUUCAGCUCCUGGAUCUCCAUUUCCAGUGUCUGUUUGGUGUCUAGCUGUGUCUUAAGCUCAAGGAUCUUGCCCAUAGCCUCAUCUUUUUGCCUCUGG
rnacentral:lncRNA from 1 species